rnacentral:rRNA from 1 species
CAGUAGCCGCGGGAAUACGUAGGCAGCAAGCGUUGUUCGGAGUUACUGGGCGUAAAGGGUGCGUAGGCGGUUCUAUAAGUAUGGUGUGAAAUCUCCCGGCUUAACUGGGAGGGUGCGCUAUAAACUCUGGGACUAGAGUGCGGGAGAGGAAAGUGGAAUUCCUGGUGUAGCGGUGAAAUGCGUAGAUAUCAGGAGGAACACCGGUGGUGUAAACGGCUUUCUGGACCAUAACUGACGCUGAGGCACGAAAGCGUGGGUAGCAAACAGGAUUAGAUACCCGUGUAGUCCCUGUCUCUUAUAC